UACGAAGGGUGCAAGCGUUACUCGGAAUUACUGGGCGUAAAGCGUGCGUAGGUGGUUUGUUAAGUCUGAUGUGAAAGCCCUGGGCUCAACCUGGGAAUUGCAUUGGAUACUGGCAGGCUAGAGUGCGGUAGAGGAUGGCGGAAUUCCCGGUGUAGCAGUGAAAUGCGUAGAGAUCGGGAGGAACAUCCGUGGCGAAGGCGACUACCUGGACCAGCACUGACACUGAGGCACGAAAGCGUGGGGAGCAAACAGG
rnacentral:rRNA from 1 species